GGGGCAGUAGUUCAGUGGGAGAACGCCCGCUUGGCGUGCGGGAGGUCGUGGGUUCGAAUCCCAUCUGCUCCA
rnacentral:tRNA from 1 species